ensembl:lncRNA
CGGCCAAUAGGGUUAAUUGACUGUGAAAACACCUGGAGAGAAAACAGUCAUUUAUAACAGGCGGGAUUUAGACGCGCUCAUAUUGGAUUAUAUUAAAAAAAAAACUCACGCGCAGAGUCCGCAAGGAAAAUACCCUGACGCCGCUCUGAAUAGGAUUUCUUUAUUCUUCUGCGACGACGUGUUAUUCUACGCAGGGCCUGUGGUCGACGGGCGAUGGGAGCACUUUAAUGAAGUCGCAAGCCAGCAGCGGCUCGCUGGAGAGUACGGUAGUAAAAUAAGAUCGGCAGGAUUUGACAGAGCAUCUUUGAACGAGGAGCUGAGGCCUGCCGAUCACGUCCUUUCCCUCGCUUAGCUGGGAAACGUUCCGGUCUCGCUGUUGCAGGGGUGUACCUGUCAUGUCAGAAUGAAGCGACUCUGAACCCUACACGAACUUGUCUUGUCAGAGCAGUCCUGGGUGAAGUUGCCGGGGAACGUUACCAUUGCGACUCCCCCGACACGCCCGGUUGGACGGUCUCCGUGCACGGCGUCUUUUCCAUACGCGGACAGCUGGAGCGAGUUACGGGCGGCUUGGCCGGCGGAGAGAGAGAGACGCAGAUGGCUGAGCUCUCAUGUCACCCCGUCUACUUGGCAAGAGGCGCAGGGAGAGCAAGUGGAGAGGAGAUCUGUGUUUCCUAGCUCCACCUGGGCAACAAAUCCUUCCUCACUCCGUGUUGUCGUGACCAUCCCAGCUGCACGAUACAUGUCUGAAGACAAAGUCAUCAUCUAAAAGUUAGAUUCAAAACGGCAUAUUUUUUUUGCCUUAAUUUAUUCAUGUAUUUAUGUAACUUUUGAUUGUUACCAUCCAUGUGUCUUCUUUCACAUUGUGUGCUUUUUUUCUUGAUUUAUUCAACUUGUCUUUCGAUGUUGAUUUUAGG